GCUUGUCUCAAAGAUUAAGCCAUGCAUGUCUCAGUACAAGCCAAAUUAAGGUGAAACCGCGAAAGGCUCAUUAAAUCAGUUAUGGUUCCUUAGAUCGUACCCACAAUUACUUGGAUAACUGUGGUAAUUCUAGAGCUAAUACAUGCAAACAGAGCUCCGACCGGAGACGGAAGGAGUGCUUUUAUUAGAUCAAAACCAAUCGGUGGCGGGCUCGUCAUCGUACAACUUGGUGACUCUGAAUAACUUUACGCUGAUCGCAUGGUCAUCGCACCGGCGACGCAUCUUUCAAAUGUCUGCCUUAUCAACUGUCGAUGGUAGGUUCUGCGCCUACCAUGGUUGUAACGGGUAACGGGGAAUCAGGGUUCGAUUCCGGAGAGGGAGCCUGAGAAACGGCUACCACAUCCAAGGAAGGCAGCAGGCGCGCAAAUUACCCACUCCCGGCACGGGGAGGUAGUGACGAAAAAUAACGAUACGGGACUCAUCCGAGGCCCCGUAAUCGGAAUGAGUACACUCUAAACCCUUUAACGAGGAUCAAUUGGAGGGCAAGUCUGGUGCCAGCAGCCGCGG
rnacentral:rRNA from 1 species